GGUUAAGCGACUAAGCGUACACGGUGGAUGCCCUGGCAGUCAGAGGCGAUGAAGGACGUGCUAAUCUGCGAAAAGCGUCGGUAAGGUGAUAUGAACCGUUAUAGCCGGCGAUGUCCGAAUGGGGAAACCCAGUGCAAUUCGUUGCACUAUCGUUAACUGAAUACAUAGGUUAACGAGGCGAACCGGGGGAACUGAAACAUCUAAGUACCCCGAGGAAAAGAAAUCAACCGAGAUUCCCCCAGUAGCGGCGAGCGAACGGGGAGCAGCCCAGAGUCUGAAUCAGCUUGUGUGUUAGUGGAACGGUCUGGAAAGUCCGACGGUACAGGGUGAUAGUCCCGUACACCAAAAUGCACAGGCUGUGAACUCGAAGAGUAGGGCGGGACACGUGGUAUCCUGUCUGAAUAUGGGGGGACCAUCCUCCAAGGCUAAAUACUCCUGACUGACCGAUAGUGAACCAGUACCGUGAGGGAAAGGCGAAAAGAACCCCGGCGAGGGGAGUGAAAAAGAACCUGAAACCGUGUACGUACAAGCAGUGGGAGCACCUUCGGGUGUGACUGCGUACCUUUUGUAUAAUGGGUCAGCGACUUAUAUUCUGUAGCAAGGUUAACCGUAUAGGGGAGCCGCAGGGAAACCGAGUCUUAACUGGGCGUUAAGUUGCAGGGUAUAGACCCGAAACCCGGUGAUCUAGCCAUGGGCAGGUUGAAGGUUGGGUAACACUAACUGGAGGACCGAACCGACUAAUGUUGAAAAAUUAGCGGAUGACUUGUGGCUGGGGGUGAAAGGCCAAUCAAACCGGGAGAUAGCUGGUUCUCCCCGAAAGCUAUUUAGGUAGCGCCUCGUGAAUUCAUCUUCGGGGGUAGAGCACUGUUUCGGCUAGGGGGUCAUCCCGACUUACCAACCCGAUGCAAACUACGAAUACCGAAGAAUGUUAUCACGGGAGACACACGGCGGGUGCUAACGUCCGUCGUGAAGAGGGAAACAACCCAGACCGCCAGCUAAGGUCCCAAAGUCAUGGUUAAGUGGGAAACGAUGUGGGAAGGCACAGACAGCCAGGAUGUUGGCUUAGAAGCAGCCAUCAUUUAAAGAAAGCGUAAUAGCUCACUGGUCGAGUCGGCCUGCGCGGAAGAUGUAACGGGGCUAAACCAUGCACCGAAGCUGCGGCAGCGACACUAUGUGUUGUUGGGUAGGGGAGCGUUCUGUAAGCCUGCGAAGGUGUGCUGUGAGGCAUGCUGGAGGUAUCAGAAGUGCGAAUGCUGACAUAAGUAACGAUAAAGCGGGUGAAAAGCCCGCUCGCCGGAAGACCAAGGGUUCCUGUCCAACGUUAAUCGGGGCAGGGUGAGUCGACCCCUAAGGCGAGGCCGAAAGGCGUAGUCGAUGGGAAACAGGUUAAUAUUCCUGUACUUGGUGUUACUGCGAAGGGGGGACGGAGAAGGCUAUGUUAGCCGGGCGACGGUUGUCCCGGUUUAAGCAUGUAGGCUGGUUGUCCAGGCAAAUCCGGAUAAUCAAGGCUGAGGUGUGAUGACGAGGCACUACGGUGCUGAAGUAACAAAUGCCCUGCUUCCAGGAAAAGCCUCUAAGCAUCAGGUAACAUUAAAUCGUACCCCAAACCGACACAGGUGGUCAGGUAGAGAAUACCAAGGCGCUUGAGAGAACUCGGGUGAAGGAACUAGGCAAAAUGGUGCCGUAACUUCGGGAGAAGGCACGCUGGUGUGUAGGUGAAGCCCCUGCGGGUGGAGCUGAGACCAGUCGAAGAUACCAGCUGGCUGCAACUGUUUAUUAAAAACACAGCACUGUGCAAACACGAAAGUGGACGUAUACGGUGUGACGCCUGCCCGGUGCCGGAAGGUUAAUUGAUGGGGUUAUCCGUAAGGAGAAGCUCUUGAUCGAAGCCCCGGUAAACGGCGGCCGUAACUAUAACGGUCCUAAGGUAGCGAAAUUCCUUGUCGGGUAAGUUCCGACCUGCACGAAUGGCGUAAUGAUGGCCAGGCUGUCUCCACCCGAGACUCAGUGAAAUUGAACUCGCUGUGAAGAUGCAGUGUACCCGCGGCAAGACGGAAAGACCCCGUGAACCUUUACUAUAGCUUGACACUGAACAUUGAGCCUUGAUGUGUAGGAUAGGUGGGAGGCUUUGAAGCGUGGACGCCAGUCUGCGUGGAGCCAACCUUGAAAUACCACCCUUUAAUGUUUGAUGUUCUAACGUUGGCCCCUUACCGGGGUUGCGGACAGUGUCUGGUGGGUAGUUUGACUGGGGCGGUCUCCUCCCAAAGCGUAACGGAGGAGCACGAAGGUUAGCUAAUCCUGGUCGGACAUCAGGAGGUUAGUGCAAUGGCAUAAGCUAGCUUGACUGCGAGCGUGACGGCGCGAGCAGGUGCGAAAGCAGGUCAUAGUGAUCCGGUGGUUCUGAAUGGAAGGGCCAUCGCUCAACGGAUAAAAGGUACUCCGGGGAUAACAGGCUGAUACCGCCCAAGAGUUCAUAUCGACGGCGGUGUUUGGCACCUCGAUGUCGGCUCAUCACAUCCUGGGGCUGAAGUAGGUCCCAAGGGUAUGGCUGUUCGCCAUUUAAAGUGGUACGCGAGCUGGGUUUAGAACGUCGUGAGACAGUUCGGUCCCUAUCUGCCGUGGGCGCUGGAGAAUUGAGGGGGGCUGCUCCUAGUACGAGAGGACCGGAGUGGACGCAUCACUGGUGUUCGGGUUGUCAUGCCAAUGGCACUGCCCGGUAGCUAAAUGCGGAAGAGAUAAGUGCUGAAAGCAUCUAAGCACGAAACUUGCCCCGAGAUGAGUUCUCCCUGAGACUUUAAGUCUCCUGAAGGAACGUUGAAGACGACGACGUUGAUAGGCCGGGUGUGUAAGCGCAGCGAUGCGUUGAGCUAACCGGUACUAAUGAACCGUGAGGCUUAACCUU
rnacentral:rRNA from 1 species